GAUGAACGCUGGCGGCGUGCCUAAUACAUGCAAGUCGAGCGAACGGACGAGAAGCUUGCUCCUCUGAUGUUAGCGGCGGACGGGUGAGUAACACGUGGAUAACCUACCUAUAAGACUGGGAUAACUUCGGGAAACCGUAGCUAAUACCGGAUAAUAUUUUGAACCGCAUGGUUCAAAAGUGAAAGACGGUUUUGCUGUCACUUAUAGAUGGAUCCGCGCCGCAUUAGCUAGUUGGUAAGGUAACGGCUUACCAAGGCAACGAUGCGUAGCCGACCUGAGAGGGUGAUCGGCCACACUGGAACUGAGACACGGUCCAGACUCCUACGGGAGGCAGCAGUAGGGAAUCUUCCGCAAUGGGCGAAAGCCUGACGGAGCAACGCCGCGUGAGUGAUGAAGGUCUUCGGAUCGUAAAACUCUGUUAUUAGGGAAGAACAAAUGUGUAAGUAACUAUGCACGUCUUGACGGUACCUAAUCAGAAAGCCACGGCUAACUACGUG
rnacentral:rRNA from 1 species